ensembl:snoRNA
AUCGAGGCUAGAGUCACGCCCCGACACUGCCUGUUGUCCUGGUGUGCUAGAGUGCUCGUAAAGUAAAAUCUUUGUUUAUUCAUUGGCUGUAGUCUGAUGUGGCCCAGUCAAUCACCGACUCAGAGACACUU